CNGGCUCAGGACGAACGCUGGCGGCGUGCCUAAUACAUGCAAGUCGAACGAACUCUGGUAUUGAUUGGUGCUUGCAUCAUGAUUUACAUUUGAGUGAGUGGCGAACUGGUGAGUAACACGUGGGAAACCUGCCCAGAAGCGGGGGAUAACACCUGGAAACAGAUGCUAAUACCGCAUAACAACUUGGACCGCAUGGUCCGAGUUUGAAAGAUGGCUUCGGCUAUCACUUUUGGAUGGUCCCGCGGCGUAUUAGCUAGAUGGUGGGGUAACGGCUCACCAUGGCAAUGAUACGUAGCCGACCUGAGAGGGUAAUCGGCCACAUUGGGACUGAGACACGGCCCAAACUCCUACGGGAGGCAGCAGUAGGGAAUCUUCCACAAUGGACGAAAGUCUGAUGGAGCAACGCCGCGUGAGUGAAGAAGGGUUUCGGCUCGUAAAACUCUGUUGUUAAAGAAGAACAUAUCUGAGAGUAACUGUUCAGGUAUUGACGGUAUUUAACCAGAAAGCCACGGCUAACUACGUGCCAGCAGCCGCGGUAAUACGUAGGUGGCAAGCGUUGUCCGGAUUUAUUGGGCGUAAAGCGAGCGCAGGCGGUUUUUUAAGUCUGAUGUGAAAGCCUUCGGCUCAACCGAAGAAGUGCAUCGGAAACUGGGAAACUUGAGUGCAGAAGAGGACAGUGGAACUCCAUGUGUAGCGGUGAAAUGCGUAGAUAUAUGGAAGAACACCAGUGGCGAAGGCGGCUGUCUGGUCUGUAACUGACGCUGAGCUC
rnacentral:rRNA from 2 species